UACGGAGGGUGCGAGCGUUGUCCGGAAUCACUGGGCGUAAAGGGCGCGUAGGCGGCCUGGCAAGUCGGUGGUGAAAGCCCGUGGCUCAACUACGGGUCGGCCACCGAUACUGCUAUGGCUCGAGUUUGGUAGAGGCAGAUGGAAUUCCGGGUGUAGCGGUGGAAUGCGUAGAGAUCCGGAAGAGCACCGGUGGCGAAGGCGGUCUGCUGGGCCAAGACUGACGCUGGAGGCGCGACAGCGUGGGGAGCAAACAGG
rnacentral:rRNA from 1 species